rnacentral:tRNA from 3 species
GGAGGCUUAGCUCAGCUGGGAGAGCAUUUGCACCACAUGCAAGGGGUCGCAGGUUCGAGCCCUGUAGCCUCCA